rnacentral:rRNA from 1 species
UAACACGUGAGUGACCUGCCUUUUAGACUGGAACAACUUACCGAAAGGUGAGCUAAUGCCGGAUGAGUUAUAUAAGUGCAUGUUUAUAUAGGAAAAGUUGGGGAGACCUGACGCUGAAAGAUGGACUCGCGUCCCAUUAGCUAGUUGGUAGGGUAAUGGCCUACCAAGGCGACGAUGGGUAGCCGGCCUGAGAGGGUGGCCGGCCACACUGGGACUGAGACACGGCCCAGACUCCUACGGGAGGCAGCAGUGGGGAAUUUUGCGCAAUGCUCGUAAGAGUGACGCAGCGACGCCGCGUGAAUGACGAAGGCCUUCGGGUCGUAAAGUUCUUUCGACAGGGAAGAAAAUGCCUAUAAGUAACUGUGUAUGUAUUGACGGUACCUGUAUAAGCAGCCCCGGCUAACUCCGUGCCAGCAGCCGCGGUAAUACGGAGGGGGCGAGCGUUGUUCGGAGUGACUGGGCGUAAAGAGCACGUAGGCGGUGUUGUAAGUCAUUAGUCAAAGACUAGAGCUCAACUUUAGUAAGGCUAGUGAUACUAUAAUACUAGGGUAUCAGGGAGGAUUGCAGAAUUCCUGGUGUAGCGGUGAAAUGCGUAGAUAUCAGGAGGAAUACCGUUAGCGAAGGCGGCAAUCUGGCUGGAAACUGACGCUGAGGUGCGAAAGCGUGGGUAGCAAACAGGAUUAGAUACCCUGGUAGUCCACGCUGUAAACGAUGGAUGCUAGGUGU